rnacentral:rRNA from 1 species
AUUGAACGCUGGCGGCGUGCCUAAUACAUGCAAGUAGAACGCAGUUGCGAACGGGUGAGUAACGCGUAGGUAACUGCCUGGUAGCGGGGGAUAACUAUUGGAAACGAUAGCAAAUACCGUAUACUACCAGAUGGACCUGUGUUGUAUUAGUUAUUUGGUGGGGUAACGGUUCACAAAGGCAACGAUACAUAGCCGACCUGGGAGGGUGAUCGGCCACACUGGGACGUGGACACCGCCCCGGCUCCUACGGGAUGCAGCAGUAGGGAAUCUUCGGCAAUGGGGGGAACCCUGACCGAGCAACGGCGCGUGAGUGGAGAAGGUUUUCGGUUCGUAAAGCUCUGUUUUUAAGGAAGCGGUACUUAACCAGAAAGGGACGGCUAACUACGUGCCAGCCGCCGCGGUAAUAC